rnacentral:rRNA from 1 species
ACGGAAGGCAGCAGUGGGGAAUAUUGGGCAAUGGGCGAAAGCCUGACCCAGCAACGCCGCGUGAAGGAAGAAGGCCUACGGAUUGUAAACCUCUUUAGCCGGGGAGCAAUAAGCGCUAUGUAUAGCGUGAUGAGAGUACCCGGAGAAUAAGGAUCGGCUAACUCCGUGCCAGCAGCCGCGGUAAUACGGAGGAUCCGAGCGUUAUCCGGAUUUAUUGGGUUUAAAGGGUGCGCAGGCGGUCGAUUAAGUCAGUGGUCAAAUCACGGUGCUCAACGCCGUUCCGCCAUUGAUACUGGUUGACUUGAUUCCGGUCGAGGCAGGCGGAAUUCGUAGUGUAGCGGUGAAAUGCAUAGAUAUUACGAAGAACUCCGAUUGCGUAGGCAGCUUACCAGGCCGGCAAUGACGCUCAUGCACGAAAGUGCGGGGAUCGAACAGGAUUAGAUACCCUGGUA